UAUGUGCAAGAGGAAGGCAGAUUAAUACAAGAGAAACAAAAUGCAGUCAACUUUGUUUCUCAAAAGGGAUAAAUAAAGCGUGCAAAGAAUGGCAAGGGCAAGAAUGACUCAAGAAGAAAGAAUAAGGAAACUCCAUCUGGUUCACAAGACCAAUCAAGUAAGUCGAUUCCCAAAUGCUUCUUUUGUAAGAAAAAGGGUCAUAUAAAGAAGGACUGUCAAAAAUAUCAGAAAUGGCUCCAGAAGAAAGGGAUUUCAGAAUCGGAGAAAACCCAGUAAAGAUGAAGCGACUAUCUAUACAGCUGAAGGAAAUCCAACUAAAGUAGAAUUUGUAGGAACAUUUAGAUUAGUUCUUUCUACUGGUCACAUUUUGGAUUUAGUUGAUACUUUUUAUGUUCCAAAUUUUUCUAAGAAUUUAAUUUCUAUUUCGAAA